rnacentral:sRNA from 1 species
UCAGUUAAUAAAAGAAGACUUCAUUGAGUGUACUUUAUAUGGUCAGGAUAGUGCUAAGCUCUGUAAAGGCUGUACAAAACAAGGACUUUGAUCAGGUUGUUUCUGCAGGAUGAAACAAAACAAAGGCUGCCCGUAGGAGUACUGUAUUGUAAAGCUUACCAUUUGGCUGUUUAGCUGCACUGUGGAGGUCUUGCUCCUUCAGCCCUGCUCUGUGCUUUGUUUCCAGAAGAUCCCACAGCCAACAAAGAUUCUGGCCAAGAGUCAGAGUCUAUUCCAGAAUAUACGGCCGAAGAGGAACGGGAGGACAACCGGCUUUGGAGGACAGUGGUGAUUGGAGAACAAGAGCAGCGCAUUGACAUGAAGGUCAUCGAGCCCUACAGGAGAGUCAUUUCUCACGGAGGAGAUUCAGGUAACCUUCUCUGAAGUCUUGCUGG